CCUACGGGUGGCUGCAGUGCGGAAUAUUGGUCAAUGGCCGUAAGGCUGAACCAGCCAAGUAGCGUGAGGGAAGACUGCCCUAUGGGUUGUAAACCUCUUUUAUGCGGGGGUAAAGGUGUCCACGUGUGGAUGUUUGCAGGUACCGCAUGAAUAAGGACCGGCUAAUUCCGUGCCAGCAGCCGCGGUAAUACGGCGGGUCCGGGCGUUGUCCGGAUUUAUUGGGUUUAAGGGGAGCGUAGGCGGGUCAUUAAGCGUGCCGUGAAAUUUUGUGGACCAACCAUGAGAGUGCGGCGCGAACUGGAGACCUUGAGUGCGCGGAAGGCAGGCGGAAUUCGUGGUGUAGCGGUGAAAUGCUUAGAUAUCACGAAGAACCCCGAUUGCGAAGGCAGCCUGCCGCAGCGUUACUGACGCUGAAGCUCGAAAGCGCGGGUAUCGAACAGGAUUAGAUACCCGUGUAGUC
rnacentral:rRNA from 1 species